rnacentral:rRNA from 1 species
GACGUAGGAGGCGAGCGUUGUCCGGAUUCAUUGGGCGUAAAGAGCACGCAGGCGGUUUGGCAAGUCGGAUGUGAAAUUCCCGGGCUCAACCUGGGGGCUGCACUUGAUACGUAUGGACUUGAGUGAGGAAGAGGGUCGUGGAAUUCCCGGUGUAGUGGUGAAAUGCGUAGAUAUCGGGAGGAACACCAGUGGCGAAGGCGACUACCUGGCCUGUUCUUGACGCUGAGGCGCGAAAGCUAGGGGAGCAAACGGG